UAAUAAUUUACUCUUGGUGAUUCAUAGGAAGAAAGCAAGGGGUGACAUAGGUCAUUUAAGUGAUAUUCACAAGCCACUAAACAUGCAAGUUAGGGAAAUUGUGCUAGACGCAAGAUGCAUGAAGGCAUCCAGAAUUUGAGGGUUUGAAAAUUUAUCAAGUACUAUUGCGCAAUAACUAUGGGUCAACCUUUUGAUUGUUAGCGCGUAAUGUGAGACCUGUUAGAGGUUUGUUAUUCAAAAAUGCUUAUGUUUCCUAAAACUUGAGACUGCGUUUGACCACCCACGGACCUGUGGGGCGAGAUGAUAAGCUCUUGUUUUUAUUUACACUUCAAUCAAUGCUGAGUAAAGGGCAAAAAACCGCGAUUAAUAGGAACUUUCCUGUUCAUUCUAUUAACAAACUGUUUAGUUCAAAAAAUACUUGUUUGCACUCAACGGCUUAAAGUAUUCAGUUAAUUGGUCCCUUAGGUUCUUGCGAAAUACGGAAAAAAAUAUUACCCAAGAGGAUAAAUCAGGUUCAAUGUUUAGAGUGUCAGGAUUAGAUUUUCAAGUCGUAAGAUUUGACAUUGGCCGCUCAGUUGCAGAUCAAAUAGAUCAAAUGAAAGUACUUUGAAGACUACUAUGUACUUGAUGAAUCGCCAGUUGUACCAAAAACCAGCCACGCCGAGAGAGGAAGGAGCUACUACCCACAGGAAAUGCAGUCAGAGCGCUGCAAGAACAUUUGGUCAAGUGAAAGUUGGUUAACUUAAUUUUUAAAAGCUUGUAACAAUUUAUAAAUACUUAAAUCGCACAUUUGCUGACCGCAAACAAAUAAAAUCACAAUGGAAUAUUCGCUAAGCUAAAAUAAUAAAAAGUUCGGUUGGUGAAAGCUUCCGACAGGAUAAACAGCUUGACAAUAUUAUCGCAAAAGAUCAGAAAUCGUUUUGUUAGUCCGCUGUAAAAAAAUUCUUUCGUUUCCUUCAGCAGUCACGUUUACGAAAAAAACAAGUCUCAAUUAUGUUGCUCUUUAGUCUGUUCGCUCAUUUUUCACUUCAGUGAUCCGACUGAACGCAUCACAAAGAUAACAUUUUAGUCCCCCCUUAGUUCCACUUGACACGAUAUGAUCGAUCAAAAGUCACUGUCUCUGAUAUUUCAACAGUUCUCUGCUCUUUCUCUGUGAUUUCGGAUGUUUCCAGUGCAUAUUUAGUUUGCGUGCAUACAGGGGAAAUCAUUUAGGAGCUCGGCAUCUUUCUUAUCAAAACUUGACCUCUGCUGUCAUGCCGAGCACUUGAAAGCAAUGUACUCAUAUAUUUAUAAAUACCCUCACUUGAUACUACGCGAGAAGCAUUUUCCCCCGACCAAUCAACACUAAUUGGGAACAUAACUGGUGGUAUCUUAUGUUAUGUCGAUGAUAUUUUUCGGCGUUCCGGUGAAUCUGAGUGUAUUUUGGCUUUGCAUGCGUGCCCAGUAGACUUCGAACCGAUACCCCCCAGGGAAAUAUUGAGAUGGGGACUGAAUUGACGCAGGAUCUUUUGUGAAACUGGACUUGUGUUGCAUCCGCUCUCAUUGACAGGUGGUUCCACGUGGGCAACUUUCCCGCCGUCUGCGAAUGCUUGUCCUUGCAUGACAUUUCUAGAAAGCCGAAUUCAACUAAUCACUUGAACACAAGUACUUGGUUUGGACAUAUUGGCGUCAAUCUUUAACAAGGACUCGAACUGUACAAAGCCACGUUACUGAUCUUCGAAAAUUAGUGACCACUUAUGACGUCGAUACUUGCCGCCCGUAACUCUGAUUAGCAACAACAAAGUCUAAUAUCUAAAGUACUAUAAUCGACUGAUCUCCCAAUACGAAACAUAUUAAUCUUCAUAAGAAGAGUAUGAUCUAUUAAUGAGUUCUGAGGAUUCUAACAUUUCUUCGUUAAUAAGCCGUGUAAUAAUCUUGUACAAGCUUGAAAACGGGACAAGAUUCCUGAGUAUGCAGUGGCAACUACUUCACGCCUUAAAAAUAGACACUACUUGCCUGACGCCUGACGCAUGCAGACAUUUCCGUUAACACGCUAUAUUGAUUUCGAUACAAAAUGAAAACAGCAAUGUCGAAACGGAAAUAACUAAACUUCAUUGAGCCCGAUACGUGUUCAAAGCAUCCUCCAAAAGAUCACCUUUGACAAGUUUGCCUGAAUUCAAUUUCCUUCCAUUUGAGUACCUUUGGGCAAAAAUAUCAUUGCCAUGGUUGGAAUCCGCAUGCAAGGCGGAAGGAAGAGAAAAUGAAUGAAAAAAAGAAACAGACGUAACUUAAAUCACUCCUCCAAACUUGAACUGAUAGCAAAGCCAAAAGAAGUUAAUGCGGUUUGGUUAGACUUUAAAAGGGCGUUCUGUGGUUUUUGAUAACAAUCAUGAGAUGAUGUUAAAGUUUGUUGCUGUUUUUAAUUUUUUUUUUCAGAUCGCUUUGUUAACUGGAUACUAAUCGGAAUAAAGCCUUUUUCACUUUCAUACACUCAAAUACUAUUUAGCUUUUAACAAAGUGUUAUUGAUCUGUGACAAUCAGUUAAGUCUGCAACUUUGAGUACCGUGUCCUUAAAACAAAUUCGAUUGUAUUGUCAGUCACAAUUUUGUCUAAAUAAGCAAAUAUAUGCGUUUAAUUUGUUUCCAAAAAUAAAGAUAACAGUUAAGAUCA